rnacentral:tRNA from 1 species
CGCCCGGGACCAGUGCGCGUCACUCUGACUACGGAUCAGAAGGUUUGGGGUUCGAAUCCCUACAGGCGCG